rnacentral:misc_RNA from 1 species
GUGUGUGUGUAUAUAUAUAUUUUCAGUUAAUUUCUGUUCUUUGCGAGGAGCGCAAGAGAUGAUGGAUGAGAAUGUAAGGCACUGCUUGCCACUGUACAAAGCUGCACUACAUGGAGAUUGGGAUACUGCAAAGAGAAUUUUUGAUAGUGAUUCAAAUGCUUUAACUGCUAAUAUUUCACCCAUAGAAGAAACUGCUCUCCAUGUCUCAAUUUGCGCCGGUCACUCCAUUGAAUUUGUGGAGAAGCUUGUAGAUAGAAUGCCAGCAGAUGAACUCGGAAUAAAAAAUAAAUUCGGCGAAACUCCUCUUCACGCAGCUGGUGUAGCUGGAAAUACAGAAGCUGCAAAGGUGUUGGUGAAAAAAAAUCCAAGAUUGACUCAAGAAAGGAACUCUGUUAAUGAUACACCGCUUCAUCUUGCUGCCGCACAUGCCCGUAAGGAAACAGUUCAGUAUCUUCUGUCAGUAACUCAGGAUGAGGAUCCAAGUCCUUUCGCUGACAAAGAUGGUGUCAAACUCCUCAAUUUGCUGAUCACUGCAGAUUUUUAUAGUUAUGUGCAUUAUCACCUUUAUUUAAUUAUGAAUUUGCUUUGACCUGAUUUUUCUUUGUAAUUGAAUGCUAAAUGCAGAGCAUGCACUCGACUAUUGAGCUACUUGUACAGCCGCAAACACAUUUAGCUCUGUUGAUAACCGUUUUCUACUCAUUCUUCAUGAGCAGGCAUCGCGCUUGAUCUAUUGAAGCUCUAUCCUGCAUUGGCACGCAGAAGAGACGGCCAAGGAGUUUCUGCUUUAGACAGAUUGGCCGGAAAGCCUCAGGCAUUCGCAAGUGGAAGUCGGCUUGGAUUUUUCCAACGCUUAUUCUAUCGUUGUUGGACUAGCAUUCCUGAUCUAUUUCUUUUAUCUACAUGAAAGUUGGAUCUCUCGUUGACCAUGUCUUUUCAAUACAGAUUUUGCAGGUACUUCUGCAGACAAAGAAAGUGCCAAUCGAGGCGAAGAUGUAGAAAAUCCAGGCGGGAAUUUUGAUAAAUACCAAAAGGAAUCCUUGCAAUUUCAAUUUCUACAGCAGAUACAGAAAACAAAAUUGAUGCAUAAGCAAGCAAUGGAGCUUCUCGGACUCCUGAUUUCUGAAGCUUUAAAAGGAAGUGUAUCAGAAGCUGAUGAUCUAUUAGGACCUCCAACACGAAUUGCUGCCAUAUUGGGCAUUCAAGAAUUCGUUACCGAGGUGAUUAAAUCCUACCCUGGUACGGUGUGGCUCCGGAAUAAGGAUGGGCAAAAUAUUUUUCUUCUUGCUGUAAAACAUCGCCAAGAAAAAAUAUUCAAUCUCCUGUAUCAAAUGGGUACGCAUAAGCUUUUUACUACAACAUUCAUUGAUAAACAGCGCAACAGCAUGUUGCAUUUAGCAGGGAUGUUGGAACCAUCAAAGAAGAUUUCUGGC